UACAGAGGGUGCAAGCGUUGUUCGGAAUUAUUGGGCGUAAAGCGCGUGUAGGCGGCGUGACAAGUCGGGUGUGAAAGCCCUCAGCUCAACUGAGGAAGUGCGCCCGAAACUGUCGUGCUUGAGUGUCGGAGAGGGUAGCGGAAUUCCCCAAGUAGAGGUGAAAUUCGUAGAUAUGGGGAGGAACACCGGUGGCGAAGGCGGCUACCUGGACGACUACUGACGCUGAGACGCGAAAGCGUGGGGAGCAAACAGG
rnacentral:rRNA from 1 species